CUUAUUACUGUAGUAGGUUGGUGGAACUAUUUUGUCUGCAAAACUUGCAAAAGAGAGAGGAUGGGCCAUUAACGUAGGAGGAGGAUUUCAUCACUGCUCUGCAGAAAAAGGAGGUGGAUUUUGUGCUUAUGCAGAUAUUUCUCUUUGCAUCCACUUUGCUUUGGUUCGGUUGAAUAUAUCAAGGGUGAUGAUCAUUGAUCUUGAUGCACAUCAAGGAAAUGGCCAUGAAACAGACUUUGCCUAUGAUAGUAUGGCCAC